rnacentral:misc_RNA from 1 species
UUUUUUUUUUUUUUAACAAUUGGCUUUAAUAAGAAUUCAUACUCAAGAACUAAUAGUGAAGAACGACUCCAGUACCAGAAUUAACAAAUCUUAAUUCUUCUCAGUAUGCAAUUAUGCAUUAAGUAAUAAGAAAAUUUCUCUUCUAUGCUAACAUAGAAGUCCCUAAAAAGACCUCAAAUAAAUAAUGACAAGAGCUUUCUUUCACCUCCCUGCAAACUACAAUUAGUUCCAGCAGAUGCAUAACCACCACUCUCCAACGUUGUCAUUUCAGACUCCUCCUCUGAUGGCGUCACCGACCGUUGCUUCUCCUCGGCCGGGUGCAUCAAACAGAGGUCAAGAUUUGUGAGUCCACAUAUACCCUCAUCAUCAUCAGACCUCUUCCUCUUUAAUGUUGUUGUUCUUGUUGUCUUCGAUCCUGAACUCACAUUUAUAGGCGUAAAAUUUACACAUUCUGAAAAGUUAUCCAAGUCCGGUCCUAACAUCCUACCGUCAAACUCUAGUAUAGGUUCUAAAGCACCGCCACGGAGCACCGUCAUCACCGCCGUCUGGCAGACGUGCCAGUUUCCAGUCCAGAGAAGCCCCACUGCUCCACUCACUGGAUUCACCGUUCGCCCCACAGCCUCAAACAAAAGCGACUGAAACAAUGAAGGACGCUGGUUUAGAGGCACGGAGGAGAUGAAGGACAUGAGGCCGGCACGGCCAAAGAACUUGGCGACAAAGACGGUGGCGUUUGCCUGAGCCUGAGGAUUGAUUAUCCACUGCAGGCAUUGUCGAAGCAUGCAAUCCUCACUGCAGCCCUUUCGGAGGAUUCUACACCCAUUACAGCUCAUAGUGAAAAGAUUUUCCGGCACCGAAACAUGAAUUUCAGAUAUAUAUCCGGUGAAGAGCAAGGAUGAGAAAGAUGGGUUCUCUUUGAUGGGUUUUCUUUGAUCACAAGAAAGAAAGAAUUAAAG